AUUUAAUUCAGAAAGCCAUCAUGGUUGAGAGUGUACUCCCCCCUAAAAAGCCUAUCCUGAGCCUGAUGGGCAGGAACCUCCCAAAGAACAUAACCAGUUUGAAGCCACUGGCUAUCUGGGGUCUAACAGCCACCUGUGCUGUGUGGUGGAUCUUCGACUACAAACCCUUCGUCAUGAGAAUCCCCUACUACAGAACCAAGUUUGAUCAUGAGAUCCCCACGGGACCUCUGCAUUGAGUUCCAGUCAACUGGUCAUUUGGUGGGUCGGACGAUGUGGCGUGGUCAGCUUCGGUUGUUAACUUAUUUAAAUCAUUGUACAUUAUUCUCGGACACAAACUUGCAUUGUAGGCAUUUUAUAAGCGCAGCUAAAUUAGUUAAUUGUAGUUUAAAUGAUACUGUUUGUUUCAUAUUACUAUUCCAUUGAGAUUUCCUGGUGAA